rnacentral:rRNA from 1 species
GGGUUGUGAGGUUAAGCGACUAAGCGUACACGGUGGAUGCCCUGGCAGUCAGAGGCGAUGAAGGACGUGCUAAUCUGCGAUAAGCGUCGGUAAGGUGAUAUGAACCGUUAUAACCGGCGAUUUCCGAAUGGGGAAACCCAGUGUGUUUCGACACACUAUCAUUAACUGAAUCCAUAGGUUAAUGAGGCGAACCGGGGGAACUGAAACAUCUAAGUACCCCGAGGAAAAGAAAUCAACCGAGAUUCCCCCAGUAGCGGCGAGCGAACGGGGAGCAGCCCAGAGCCUGAAUCAGUGUGUGUGUUAGUGGAAGCGUCUGGAAAGGCGCGCGAUACAGGGUGACAGCCCCGUACACAAAAAUGCACAUGCUGUGAGCUCGAUGAGUAGGGCGGGACACGUGGUAUCCUGUCUGAAUAUGGGGGGACCAUCCUCCAAGGCUAAAUACUCCUGACUGACCGAUAGUGAACCAGUACCGUGAGGGAAAGGCGAAAAGAACCCCGGCGAGGGGAGUGAAAAAGAACCUGAAACCGUGUACGUACAAGCAGUGGGAGCACGCUUAGGCGUGUGACUGCGUACCUUUUGUAUAAUGGGUCAGCGACUUAUAUUCUGUAGCAAGGUUAACCGAAUAGGGGAGCCGAAGGGAAACCGAGUCUUAACUGGGCGUUAAGUUGCAGGGUAUAGACCCGAAACCCGGUGAUCUAGCCAUGGGCAGGUUGAAGGUUGGGUAACACUAACUGGAGGACCGAACCGACUAAUGUUGAAAAAUUAGCGGAUGACUUGUGGCUGGGGGUGAAAGGCCAAUCAAACCGGGAGAUAGCUGGUUCUCCCCGAAAGCUAUUUAGGUAGCGCCUCGUGAACUCAUCUCCGGGGGUAGAGCACUGUUUCGGCAAGGGGGUCAUCCCGACUUACCAACCCGAUGCAAACUGCGAAUACCGGAGAAUGUUAUCACGGGAGACACACGGCGGGUGCUAACGUCCGUCGUGAAGAGGGAAACAACCCAGACCGCCAGCUAAGGUCCCAAAGUCAUGGUUAAGUGGGAAACGAUGUGGGAAGGCCCAGACAGCCAGGAUGUUGGCUUAGAAGCAGCCAUCAUUUAAAGAAAGCGUAAUAGCUCACUGGUCGAGUCGGCCUGCGCGGAAGAUGUAACGGGGCUAAACCAUGCACCGAAGCUGCGGCAGCGACGCUUAUGCGUUGUUGGGUAGGGGAGCGUUCUGUAAGCCUGUGAAGGUGUACUGUGAGGUAUGCUGGAGGUAUCAGAAGUGCGAAUGCUGACAUAAGUAACGAUAAAGCGGGUGAAAAGCCCGCUCGCCGGAAGACCAAGGGUUCCUGUCCAACGUUAAUCGGGGCAGGGUGAGUCGACUCCUAAGGCGAGGCCGAAAGGCGUAGUCGAUGGGAAACAGGUUAAUAUUCCUGUACUUGGUGUUACUGCGAAGGGGGGACGGAGAAGGCUAUGUUGGCCGGGCGACGGUUGUCCCGGUUUAAGCGUGUAGGCUGGUUUUCCAGGCAAAUCCGGAAAAUCAAGGCUGAGGCGUGAUGACGAGGCACUACGGUGCUGAAGCAACAAAUGCCCUGCUUCCAGGAAAAGCCUCUAAGCAUCAGGUAACAUCAAAUCGUACCCCAAACCGACACAGGUGGUCAGGUAGAGAAUACCAAGGCGCUUGAGAGAACUCGGGUGAAGGAACUAGGCAAAAUGGUGCCGUAACUUCGGGAGAAGGCACGCUGAUAUGUAGGUGAGGUCCCUCGCGGAUGGAGCUGAAAUCAGUCGAAGAUACCAGCUGGCUGCAACUGUUUAUUAAAAACACAGCACUGUGCAAACACGAAAGUGGACGUAUACGGUGUGACGCCUGCCCGGUGCCGGAAGGUUAAUUGAUGGGGUCAGCGCAAGCGAAGCUCUUGAUCGAAGCCCCGGUAAACGGCGGCCGUAACUAUAACGGUCCUAAGGUAGCGAAAUUCCUUGUCGGGUAAGUUCCGACCUGCACGAAUGGCGUAAUGAUGGCCAGGCUGUCUCCACCCGAGACUCAGUGAAAUUGAACUCGCUGUGAAGAUGCAGUGUACCCGCGGCAAGACGGAAAGACCCCGUGAACCUUUACUAUAGCUUGACACUGAACAUUGAGCCUUGAUGUGUAGGAUAGGUGGGAGGCUUUGAAGUGUGGACGCCAGUCUGCAUGGAGCCGACCUUGAAAUACCACCCUUUAAUGUUUGAUGUUCUAACGUUGACCCGUAAUCCGGGUUGCGGACAGUGUCUGGUGGGUAGUUUGACUGGGGCGGUCUCCUCCUAAAGAGUAACGGAGGAGCACGAAGGUUGGCUAAUCCUGGUCGGACAUCAGGAGGUUAGUGCAAUGGCAUAAGCCAGCUUGACUGCGAGCGUGACGGCGCGAGCAGGUGCGAAAGCAGGUCAUAGUGAUCCGGUGGUUCUGAAUGGAAGGGCCAUCGCUCAACGGAUAAAAGGUACUCCGGGGAUAACAGGCUGAUACCGCCCAAGAGUUCAUAUCGACGGCGGUGUUUGGCACCUCGAUGUCGGCUCAUCACAUCCUGGGGCUGAAGUAGGUCCCAAGGGUAUGGCUGUUCGCCAUUUAAAGUGGUACGCGAGCUGGGUUUAGAACGUCGUGAGACAGUUCGGUCCCUAUCUGCCGUGGGCGCUGGAGAACUGAGGGGGCUGCUCCUAGUACGAGAGGACCGGAGUGGACGCAUCACUGGUGUUCGGGUUGUCAUGCCAAUGGCACUGCCCGGUAGCUAAAUGCGGAAGAGAUAAGUGCUGAAAGCAUCUAAGCACGAAACUUGCCCCGAGAUGAGUUCUCCCUGACUCCUUGAGAGUCCUGAAGGAACGUUGAAGACGACGACGUUGAUAGGCCGGGUGUGUAAGCGCAGCGAUGCGUUGAGCUAACCGGUACUAAUGAACCGUGAGGCUUAACCUUACAACGCCGAAGGUGUUU